CUCAGGCUGCUGCUCUCAGUACAGAAAAGGUGCAUCCCCCCCACCAUCUGCUGUGCCAUACUGCAGCCCAGAACUCCUUUCCAGUUUCAGCAGCCUUACUGCAGGAUCUCUCCCCAGCCCACCUGACAAGCAUAGUGAAUGUAUCUCGCCUGUGAUGGAGUGAAGCAACCCCGUCACUUACCAGCGCCGCGAGCCACGGGCACCGGGACAAGCGCGAUGGAGGUGGAUAAAAUCGUGGAAUGGCUGGUGGAAAGUCAGCGCCAGUUGCAGCAGCAACAGACCGAAGCAUUGCAGCAGCUGACGUCUGAAUUUCGGGAGCAGCAGCGACAGCUGGUCCGUGAGUUGAGGGACGGAGGGAGUGUGACAGGACCCGUGGGUGGAGACGAUGAUGGGACAAUAAGCUCUCGCCUCCCAAUUAGGUUAGCCAAAUUGGGGCCUGAGGAUGACGCAGAGGCAUUUUUGGUAACAUUCGAAUGAGUAGCGACGGUGGCCCGAUGGCCCCAGGAACACUGGGCCACGAUACUCGCCCUGUACCUCUCCGGCCCAGCACAGUUAGCCUACAGGGGCAUGUCAGACCGGGACGCUCUCUGUUACUAUAAGUUAAAAGAGGCGAUACUCGAUCAGCUGGGCAUCUUGCCGGAGACCUACAGACAAAGGUUCUGGGCGGCCAAGUACUCACCAGGAGAACGACCCCGGGCGGUGGCUCAGUGGAUCAGGGAGGCAGGGCUAUGGUGGCUGGAACCUGCCACCAGGAUGGCGGCUCACGUGGCCAAUCUGGUGGUGUUGGAGCAAUACUUGCAGGUGCUCCCCCCAGAAGGGCAACGUUGGGUACACCGCCAUUUGCCGGGGACCCUGGAAGAGGCGGUAACAUUAUUGGAACAUUUCAUGGCGGCAGAAGGCUCAGAGGAACGUAGCAGGGCGGGGAGGCCCUAGCCUGUGAGGGAAGGAGGGACAGAGCA